CCUACGGGAGGCAGCAGUGAGGAAUAUUGGUCAAUGGGCGCGAGCCUGAACCAGCCAAGUAGCGUGAGGGAUGACUGCCCUACGGGUUGUAAACUUCGUUUAUAGAGGAAUAAAGUGCGGCACGUGUGCCUUUUUGCAUGGACUUUAUGAAUACGGAUCGGCUAACCCCGCGCCAGCAGCCGCGGUAAUACGGAGGUUCCGUGCGUUAUCCGGAUUUAUUGGGUUUAAAGGGAGCGUAGAUGGGUUGGUAAGUCUGUUGUGAAAGUUUGCGGCUCAACCGUAAAAUUGCAUUUGAUACGGGCAGUCUUGAGUACAGUUGAGGUAAGCGGAAUUCCUGGUGUAGCGGUGAAAUGCUUAGAUAUCACGAAGAACUCCAGUUGCGAAGGCAGCUUACUAAACUGCAACUGACAUUGAUGCUCGAAAGUGUGGGGAUCAAACAGGAUUAGAUACCCGGGUAGUC
rnacentral:rRNA from 1 species